UACAUUAGGUAGUACAGACAAUAGAAGAUAAAUAAUAACUCGAGGAUCACAAAUCACAAGAUGGUGCAAUUGCAGAGCACAAAAUAAGACUCCAAAAAAGUGCAAAAACCAAACCGUCGAACGUUCCUCGAUCUUGAGAUUGUGAACAACAUGAAACAACACAAUGGGAGAAGAGGAACCAUCUGUCAUAUGCGCGGUCGUCAACCCGUGACGGCGUUCAGGCGCCGGUAAAUCCGUUCUCGCUUCUCCGCCGUGCUGCCACGCGCAGCCCGGUCGGUGUCUUCGCCGCCUCGGCACGGCCGCCGUCCGGUUCGGCGCGCGUUUCAGCCGUCCUGUCUCCGAGGCAUCUGGGCGCCUCCGGCCUCCUGUCGCUCGCCCUGCUGUCCCUCGCGGUCGCGGGCGCAUCGGCUGCUCGGAGCAGCGCGCGUGGGCGCUUCGGCUACUACCCGCCGCUCCUUCCGCGAAGCGUCCGCUGCCCGAUGCGCGUCGAAUCAAAUCGGCCGCUCCUGCAAGUGGCUUAGGCACUCCACACUCCCUUCCUGAGGUACAUAUAUUGAUGGAAUGAACAGAAAGUGGAAGGGAAUGGUGAAAUUUUCCAGAAUUCAAAACUGAAUGCUCCGAAGACUAGAAAAUAUCAAUAUAGAAGAUCAAAUAUUCACAUGGAUACCUAUCUUAUAUUGAAUACUGGCACAGUGGAAGCCUUGAACCGAUAGGCCUCUCCACCAGUAAGUGCUCUCCUGUGAGAAUUAUUCAGGGUUCUGAUCUGUUACUCUAUUUUUUCACCUCCUCAUGUUCACAUUCAUCUUGUGAUCAAGUAGUGACAUGAGGAAUGGAUUAAGGAUAUAUAUACUGCUAUGCUGAAUGCGUGAAAUCAACAUUUGGACGGAGUAAAACAAGGGGAUAUGAAAGAAGGGAUUAACAUAAAACCAUGUACCUGUGGAUAUGAAGGUCUCACUGAUGUUUGUUUCGAAGUAAUAUGUAUCCUUGGUGUACAAGAUAUAACCUUCAUAGUUAUCUGAUGGUAGUGUCCACCCAUAUGCCUUUAGCUGCUGGACAUGACGGAUUUUUCCCCACUCAGAGUUGGCAUCUUGUAAGGAUAUCAGCUUGAGCAAGCUUAGGCUACAAUGUAAACCUCUGGCAACACGAGCUUUAUAUUUCUCAUAUAAUCGUCCUUGAAUUUGUUGAAAACCUUUGGCAACAUGAGCUUUAUAUUUCUUAAUAGAACCAUCUGACUUGUCUUAA